AUUGAACGCUGGCGGCAGGCCUAACACAUGCAAGUCGAGCGGAUGAAGGGAGCUUGCUCCUGGAUUCAGCGGCGGACGGGUGAGUAAUGCCUAGGAAUCUGCCUGGUAGUGGGGGAUAACGUCCGGAAACGGGCGCUAAUACCGCAUACGUCCUGAGGGAGAAAGUGGGGGAUCUUCGGACCUCACGCUAUCAGAUGAGCCUAGGUCGGAUUAGCUAGUUUGUGGGGUAAAGGCCUACCAAGGCGACGAUCCGUAACUGGUCUGAGAGGAUGAUCAGUCACACUGGAACUGAACCACGGUCCAUACUCCUACGGGAGGCAGCAGUCUGGAAUAUUGGACAAUGGGCGAAAGCCUGAUCCAGCCAUGCCGCGUGUGUGAAGAAGGUCCUCGGAUUGUAAAGCACUUUUAGUUGGGAUGAAGGGCAGUAAGUUAAUACCUUGCUGUUUUGACGUUACCAACAGAAUAAGCACCGGCUAACUUCGUG
rnacentral:rRNA from 1 species